rnacentral:tRNA from 1 species
GGAGAAUUACUCAAGAGGCUGAAGAGGACGGUUUGCUAAAUCGUUAGGUCGGGUAACCGACGCGGGGGUUCGAAUCCCCCAUUCUCCG